rnacentral:sRNA from 1 species
UAUUCUGCCCUACGGGGAAGGAUGAGAAGCUUCGACUAAGGUUCGACUCGAGCGUAGCGAGAGAACGUUGCCGCAGGCAACGGCCCGAAGGGCGAGGCGCUUUAGCGCCGAGUUAUCCUUCCCCCGCCACCA